GAACUGAAGAGUUUGAUCCUGGCUCAGAUUGAACGCUGGCGGCAUGCCUUACACAUGCAAGUCGAACGGUAACGCGGGGCAACCUGGCGACGAGUGGCGAACGGGUGAGUAAUGCAUCGGAACGUGCCCAGUAGUGGGGGAUAGCCCGGCGAAAGCCGGAUUAAUACCGCAUACGACCUACGGGUGAAAGGGGGGGAUCGCAAGACCUCUCGCUAUUGGAGCGGCCGAUGUCAGAUUAGGUAGUUGGUGGGGUAAAGGCCUACCAAGCCGACGAUCUGUAGCUGGUCUGAGAGGACGACCAGCCACACUGGGACUGAGACACGGCCCAGACUCCUACGGGAGGCAGCAGUGGGGAAUUUUGGACAAUGGGCGCAA
rnacentral:rRNA from 1 species